CCCUUCCCAAACAUACCCUUAGUGCCAUUGGUGGCCUUGAAUUUACAGUGACAACAGCACCAAAAAGGACAGCACCAGAGAAAAGCAAAGCAAUGGCUGAAACUAGACAUCAGUACUGGUCAAUCCUCCUGCCUUCUGCUUCUUGUAAAUAGCUUGGAUUUGUAGCCUAGAUUGCCACUGGCUCGGUGUCUAAAUGCUUUCUAGUGCUGUUGCAUGAUGGAUUCGAGCAUAGUUGUUGAUGGUUUGCCCCCUUCUUCACCUGGUGAAAUCUUGAUUCUUAUUGUUCUCUUCCCGGCCCUUCCCCCACCAAAAAUUAGUGUCUCAUCCUUUUCAGGGGUUUUGGAUUGUUCCACUGGGCUGUUCAAGUUACGUGGAACUCGUUUGGCAUUGUUAUUUGAUUUGGUGUUAAAGUUUGGUUUUGAGUUAAAUUUUGGUUUUGAGUUAAUUAUGGCAUGUUAGCAACCUUUAAAGGGUGCCUUUCGUAAACCGAACGACCUUUGACCUGUUCCCUCUUAACUCACAUUUCCCUUCCUACCUUUCUCUUCCUCAUCGGUGUCACUCUCUGGUCACCUUUUGCCACAACUUAGAAACGUCACCUCUACUCCCUCCUCCUCCUCCUCUUUAAUCCAAUAUCCUUUGAAAUAACACACUGUGAUCCCAAACACACCAGCACCUAUUGCUGGAAGUGUUGAAUUUAACAGCGUCGAUUACAUGGGCCAAGUUGGUCGAGCCACUUAUAUGUUGAGAAGGUGCCCAUCAGGAAUUCCAAAAUCAAACAUCUCUCCGAUUUCACUAAUUAUUUCUCUUUCUUCAUUGUCAUCCAAGGUCGUAACCAGUAUGUCUCUGGGCUCGCUUUCUUCCUUGUUCCUGUUGGAUCUCACAUUCCACUAAAUUCUGGAGAAGGAGGUUUUAUGGGCCUAAACAACUCCAACAUUUAUUCCUUCCUUAUUUUCUGGAUAAGGAAGAAGUAGGGUGAACAGACAACAGAGAAAAUGAACUUAACAUCAAUGAACGAUGAGAUUGAAAGAGUAGCAGGUCCAAGAAGAUAAUUCUUACCAGGAUAAUUCUUAAAUUAUUCCAAACUUAAAUUU